rnacentral:rRNA from 1 species
UCCCAGCAGUCCAAGUCGCAGCCACAAUUAUUGGGUCUAAAACAUCCGUAGCUAGUUUUGUAAGUCUCUUGUGAAAUCCUGUCUCUCAAGGGCAGGGCGUGCAAGAGAUACUGCAUUGCUUGAGACCGGAAGACGCGAGAAGUACACUCAAGGAAGUGGUAGAAUAUGUUAAUCUUGGGUGGACUAACAAGAGCGAAGGCAUCUCGCGAAGACGGAUCUGACAGUGAGGGAUGAAGGCUAGGGGCGCAAAUUG